UACGGGGGGAGCAAGCGUUGUUCGGAUUUACUGGGCGUAAAGGGCGCGUAGGCGGUCAGCACAAGUCAGUUGUGAAAUCUCCGGGCUUAACUCGGAAAGGUCAACUGAUACUGUGCGACUAGAGUGCAGAAGGGGCAACUGGAAUUCUCGGUGUAGCGGUGAAAUGCGUAGAUAUCGUUUGGAACGCCAAUGGUGAAAACAGGUUGCUGGGAGUGUGCUGACGCUGAGACACGAAAGCCAGGGGAGCAAACGGG
rnacentral:rRNA from 1 species